AGUACCGUGAGGGAAAGGCGAAAAGAACCCCGGCGAGGGGAGUGAAAAAGAACCUGAAACCGUGUACGUACAAGCAGUGGGAGCCCCACCACCAAAGCAUUCUCUGGUGUUGAAGGCCCUGCAAAGCAGCAUCGCGGUGGCGGAGCGUCGUUUGCGACGCCCAACACACAAAACAAGCGGUGAGUGCUUUGGGGUGGGGUGACUGCGUACCUUUUGUAUAAUGGGUCAGCGACUUAUAUUCUGUAGCAAGGUUAACCGAAUAGGGGAGCCGGAGGGAAACCGAGUCUUAAUUGGGCGUUAAGUUGCAGGGUAUAGACCCGAAACCCGGUGAUCUAGCCAUGGGCAGGUUGAAGGUUGGGUAACACUAACUGGAGGACCGAACCGACUAAUGUUGAAAAAUUAGCGGAUGACCUGUGGCUGGGGGUGAAAGGCCAAUCAAACCGGGAGAUAGCUGGUUCUCCCCGAAAGCUAUUUAGGUAGCGCCUCGUGAAUUCAUCUCCGGGGGUAGAGCACUGUUUCGGCUAGGGGGCCAUCCCGGCUUACCAACCCGAUGCAAACUGCGAAUACCGGAGAAUGUUAUCACGGGAGACACACGGCGGGUGCUAACGUCCGUCGUGAAGAGGGAAACAACCCAGACCGCCAGCUAAGGUCCCAAAGUCAUGGUUAAGUGGGAAACGAUGUGGGAAGGCCCAGACAGCCAGGAUGUUGGCUUAGAAGCAGCCAUCAUUUAAAGAAAGCGUAAUAGCUCACUGGUCGAGUCGGCCUGCGCGGAAGAUGUAACGGGGCUAAACCAUGCACCGAAGCUGCGGCAGCGACACUGUGUGUUGUUGGGUAGGGGAGCGUUCUGUAAGCCUGUGAAGGUGGCCUGUGAGGGUUGCUGGAGGUAUCAGAAGUGCGAAUGCUGACAUAAGUAACGAUAAAGCGGGUGAAAAGCCCGCUCGCCGGAAGACCAAGGGUUCCUGUCCAACGUUAAUCGGGGCAGGGUGAGUCGACCCCUAAGGCGAGGCCGAAAGGCGUAGUCGAUGGGAAACGGGUUAAUAUUCCCGUACUUGGUGUUACUGCGAAGGGGGGACGGAGAAGGCUAUGUUGGCCGGGCGACGGUUGUCCCGGUUUAAGCGUGUAGGUGUGUGUUCCAGGUAAAUCCGGUUCACUUUAACACUGAGGCGUGACGACGAGGCACUACGGUGCUGAAGCAACAAAUGCCCUGCUUCCAGGAAAAGCCUCUAAGCAUCAGGUAACAUCAAAUCGUACCCCAAACCGACACAGGUGGUCAGGUAGAGAAUACCAAGGCGCUUGAGAGAACUCGGGUGAAGGAACUAGGCAAAAUGGUGCCGUAACUUCGGGAGAAGGCACGCUGACACGUAGGUGAAGUGAUUUACUCAUGGAGCUGAAGUCAGUCGAAGAUACCAGCUGGCUGCAACUGUUUAUUAAAAACACAGCACUGUGCAAACACGAAAGUGGACGUAUACGGUGUGACGCCUGCCCGGUGCCGGAAGGUUAAUUGAUGGGGUCAGCGCAAGCGAAGCUCCUGAUCGAAGCCCCGGUAAACGGCGGCCGUAACUAUAACGGUCCUAAGGUAGCGAAAUUCCUUGUCGGGUAAGUUCCGACCUGCACGAAUGGCGUAAUGAUGGCCAGGCUGUCUCCACCCGAGACUCAGUGAAAUUGAACUCGCUGUGAAGAUGCAGUGUACCCGCGGCAAGACGGAAAGACCCCGUGAACCUUUACUAUAGCUUGACACUGAACAUUGAGCCUUGAUGUGUAG
rnacentral:rRNA from 1 species